CAGUAGCCGCGGGAAUACGUAGGGUGCGAGCGUUAAUCGGAAUUACUGGGCGUAAAGCGUGCGCAGGCGGUUGUGUAAUACAGGUGUGAAAUCCCCGGGCUUAACCUGGGAACUGCGCUUGUGACUGCACAGCUAGAGUAUGGCAGAGGGGGGUGGAAUUCCACGUAUAGCAGUGAAAUGCGUAGAGAUGUGGAGGAACACCGAUGGCGAAGGCAGCCCCCUGGGCCAAUACUGACGCUCAUGCACGAAAGCGUGGGGAGCAAACAGGAUUAGAUACCCCCGUAGUCCCUGUCUCUUAUAC
rnacentral:rRNA from 1 species